AGGGGUGUAUGGCAUAUUAGCUUUGAGCUAUCUCGAUAUGCCUUUCUAUCUAAAACCAUUCUUUCUCUAUUUUUCUCAAUUUCCAGAAGAUUGGGAGAUUCACAAGAGGGUAUUGAUUCGGAUGUGGAUUGCUGAAGGCUUUGUGCCACGCGUGGAAAGAG
rnacentral:pre_miRNA from 1 species